GGGCCUGCACACUCUCCCUUUGUUUGCUGCAACAUGUUCAUCUGCAUGUGAUAUUUCCUGAAGUAGACUGAGCAUCCGGUGCAUUAUUUGAAUCCCAAUUCAGAUCCAGCAUCUGUUGGAUGUGCUGGAACACGCCAGGUCCAUGGAGGCCCCACCCUGCAACCCACAGGACCCAAAGGUUACGCUGCCAGUGUCCGGUACCAGACACCACAGGUCAGGACACCCCCAGAGGUCCUGUGUCCAUUCCCCAACAGCUCCACCUCCAGGCCUGACCAUACUCCCAGUCCCUUCGCCUCCAGCUCCAUUCAACACUCCCAGUCUCUACCAGUUUCCUGACCCGGUUUAUCACAGCCACCACACCGAUCUCCUUGACAAUCGACAGGAAGUAGAUGACCUCAGUCAGCUUUAGAUCGGGGCAUUGUGACCCACAGCCUGAUUAUCAGGAGCAGCAGGGACACAAUGAGCCAUGUUUUUCGAGGAAAAAGCCCGUAAACACAUCUACAGGCGAGGAUUGUUUACAGAACCCCGAGGCCUCGAGAUGUGGUGCCAGACAGGCUGAAGAAAAAACAGGCAGACGAGAGCAGCCCGGAGCAAUCGAACAAUGGUCUUUACGGCAUAUUGAAUUGUGGUGAUUGAAAGACAAUGUUACAGCGUGUCGCUGCCUCUAGUCUAAACAACAUAGUCUAAACAGAUCAACAGGUUAUGUGUAUAUUCAGAUUGAAUUUUUAGAUUUUUUUGGCUGCUAAAUGGGAAGAGGAAACAAGUUGUAAACAUUGAUUUAUCAUCACCUUUUAAGCUGAUAUGCCAAAAAGUGUUAGCAAAAACUUGUUAACUUAUUUACUCAUCUAGCAAUUGCAACAUUAUUAUUCUUCUGGAAUGGUAUUUUUUGACCUUUAAGUUAAAUUUAGGCUAAACUACAAACUGAGACUCAAUAUAAAGCACUAAAAAGCUGGAGGGAGUUGCAGAUUUUGGUGGUAAUUCUUUGAAAAUUAAAUUGUACUGAGCUCAAAUAUUAGAUUUUACAUACAACAAGACAUAAUCCCACUAAAUAUUACAAAUACAAUCUUUAUUUAUGUCUUUCCUGUGUGUCAUAGGGUUUCAUUUUUCCUCCUUUGACCACCCUUUGUGCAUUUCCUCACUUUCUUUCAGCUGAUAUGGAAGCAGGAAGUAA